AAAAUUUUUAAUCGUCACCUUAAUACUUCUUUUUGUUGGAUUUUGAAUGGCCAGCCAUCAGGGCCCCCUUUUUUGUCCCCAACUUGAGAUGUAUGAAGGGCUUUUGGUACCUCUGGGAGUGGGUUGAGGUGUGAAGGCAGCCAAGCCAGGGCUUACCUGUACACUGAUGUGAGACCAAGAGCGUGUGUAGGGAUAGAGAGU